rnacentral:lncRNA from 1 species
CCGGACGCGCCCCGGCGCUAGGGCUUGUGUGACCUUGGCCCAAACGCGUAAUUCUCCCUGGCUGUGAAACGGGACUGGUCGUCUGACCUGCCGCUCCUCGAGCUUGGGGAACCAGCUCAAAAUAACCCUUUCAUUCCGGGCUCUCCUCUACCGCUUUGAAUGAGUCACUGACUCCAUAAUCAUCAUAUAGGGCAGACUGUUAAAACUUUUUCAGGAUUGGAGAUGUGUUUAAAAGUCAUUGAAUAUUUAUUGGACCUCUGCUAUUCAAUCAGUUGUGGGCUACGCUGAAAUUCUUGUUCAUUUAUUGUCCAAGUAUUUGUUGGUCUCCCAGCUUCAGUCAUAAAUGUCUCUUGGAACUUAAGCUUCUCAAAGCAGAGAUCCUGUUGCCUAUUUUCUGUACCUAAACCCGGAGUAGGGACUCAAAAAGUACCUGUCAAGGGAACACAGGAAUAUGGCACCGCCUUCUAUCUACACUGUCCUCGGAGCUAAAAAUGGGGAACUUGUAGUUGUCUCUUCUCAGCCGUCAGUAGUCAACAAAUCAUAGUAUUUGGUGUCUUAAAAAUAUCUCGAUAGUUUGUUUGCUCAUUCCUCGGCCAGUAACAGCUAAUACUCCAAAUCGCCAUUCUUUGCAAUAGUCUCUCAAUAAGCUCCCCGCCACCAAUCUUCUUCCUUCCCUGUUGAUCAUUCACCAAAGGUACCAGAGUGAUCUUUCUAAAAGGAAGCCAGAUUAUAUCACUCUCUUGCUUAAAACACUACUUGAAUAUUGAAUAAAUUAUGAAAUCACCACUAAGGUUUUCAUCUGCCAGACACUAUUCUGAACUCUUCACAUAUUGAUUGAUUUGAUCCUCAAAAAAUCCUAUGCAACAAGUACCUUUACUAUAUUCACAUUACAGAGGCAUUAACAAGCACAAGUUAAGUGGGCUUGCUGCAAGACCAGACUAUGAAGUCUGAUCCCAUAAUCAGUCUUUUUCUGCUAAUGGAUUAUGAAUUAUACGCCAUUUAAAAAAGUGAAAUAUUACCUGCAUGGAUUGGCAUGGACUGGUAUCUAACAGGUACUUACAUCAAGAAAAAAAUAGAGCAUGAUUUUAUUUUAAAUGAUAGUAUGUUUGUUUACCUGUAGAAAACAAGCUGAAAGAUUAUGACCCAAACCACAAGUGGUUAAUGUUCUACUUUGUACAUGCCUGUAAAUGUUAGUAUGUUUUUUACAGUGUGCAUGACUGUGUAGGUAACCAGGGAAGGGGAGGAGUUUCUUGCUAAAGGAUAAAGUCCAACUUCCAUAGUCUGUUAAAAUGCACCUGCACAAUCAGACCCUAAUUCAUCUCCCCAACUUUAUUUCCCACCAGUCUUCAUCCAUGUGAAGAACAUGUUCUUUAUAGUCUGUGCCUUUGUUUUGGAUAUUCUCUUAAUCUAGAAUCUUCUGCUUUGCCUUGUCAUU